CCUACGGGAGGCAGCAGUGGGGAAUCUUGCGCAAUGGGCGAAAGCCUGACGCAGCCAUGCCGCGUGAAUGAUGAAGGUCUUAGGAUUGUAAAAUUCUUUCACCGGGGACGAUAAUGACGGUACCCGGAGAAGAAGCCCCGGCUAACUUCGUGCCAGCAGCCGCGGUAAUACGAAGGGGGCUAGCGUUGCUCGGAAUUACUGGGCGUAAAGGGAGCGUAGGCGGAUAGUUUAGUCAGAGGUGAAAGCCCAGGGCUCAACCUUGGAAUUGCCUUUGAUACUGGCUAUCUUGAGUAUGGGAGAGGUAUGCGGAACUCCGAGUGUAGAGGUGAAAUUCGUAGAUAUUCGGAAGAACACCAGUGGCGAAGGCGGCAUACUGGCCCAUUACUGACGCUGAGGCUCGAAAGCGUGGGGAGCAAACAGGAUUAGAUACCCUGGUAGUCCACGCUGUAAACGAUGAGUGCUAGUUGUCGGCAUGCAUGCACGUCGGUGACGCAGCUACGACAUAAGUACGACUCCGCCGUCGGGAGGUACGGUCGGCGAAGAAGUUAAACGUAACGUUAAAGAAGUUAGUUACGGCGUGAGACGNGCCGACGGACGACGACGAGGGGAGGAGG
rnacentral:rRNA from 1 species